rnacentral:lncRNA from 1 species
UUGUGUGUUGAAAUUUUUAGGUUUAAAGAUUUAUUUCUCUCUCACUUUGAGGGAGACAUAGUCAUAGUUUUAGGUUGUGUUUGGGUUCACGGUGAUGUCAUGGAGCUUAGUAACCUACAAAUUUCACUUGUCAUGUGAGUAUGGAACCAUCACCUGAGAACUGGGAUCACUUUGUAACUCGAGGUUCAAGUUGACGAUGAUUAUACCAUCUCGGGUUGAAG